UCCACACCAUUGCCCAGUUGUACAAUAGCAUGUGCAAUUUUCUCCAUUCAAGACUACGUGCAAAUUGUGAACUCUUUGCCAAACAAGAAGAUAUGAGGAUCAGGCAUAUAGGAAGAGAUAUUACACCAUCAGUCAAGUAUAUUUAUGCAGCAAUGCCUUAUUACUCCUACAAAAGAUACCAUUACUGCUGCUCAUAUGAAGAGAUAUUACACCAUCAGUUGAGUUUGGCUAAAUCUGCAGUUUUCAUUACAAUGCAUGAAUCUUAUUUAUCUUGCUUCAAAUGAACAAACAAGAUAGGAUGAAGUACCCAUCUUCCAGUCAUCUGGCAAGCAACAGUCCAGUGCAUAUUGCAGACCUUCUUAGCAAGCAUCAUCAAGUGCCAUUGUAUCUUGAAUAACACAAUUGUACAGGGAUCUUGAAUAGCACAUCAAACAGAGGCACGCCUAAUUGAAAUUACAUUGGUACAUUAGUACACGUAAACUGCACAUUGGUACAUUAGUACACGGUAAACUGCACAGUUGACACGAAGUAAUGUCUAAGGACUAAGAUCAAAUCAGAAUUAGUCCUGGCAGUCAAUACAGCAAUGAGAAUUCAUUUCACAAUAACAUAGCUCAUACCAGUGGAGGCAUCGAACUGUGCCCAUAUAUUUUUGCGCACCCACGCCCGCUACUUGUUGUCUUGUUGCGGGCAUCCGCGCUGGGUCGCCCGUGAGCAUGCUGAGCUCAAGCGCAUCCUUCGGCACUUCGGCGACCAGAUUCGAAGAAGGACGGGGAAGAGCAGGGGCGUGGAAGUCUCGCACCUCCGACGCAGCCUAGCACUGGGAUGCUCCCGUGCACGCCGAGCUUGGGGACCUCCUCGGCCACUUGGGCGGCCGGAUUCGAUGGAAAGGCAGGGAAGAGCAGGGGUUGCGAACCUCUUGGUGGCGGUGGGUACGAAGGGGAGGGGUGGCCUGAGGAGGCGGGGAGAGGGAGCUGGCGACGACCAAGGAAGAAUGGGGAACGACAGG
rnacentral:lncRNA from 1 species